UACGAAGGGGGCUAGCGUUGCUCGGAAUGACUGGGCGUAAAGGGCGCGUAGGCGGAUGGCACAGUCAGAUGUGAAAUUCCCGGGCUUAACCUGGGGGCUGCAUUUGAUACGUGUUGUCUUGAGUUCGGAAGAGGGUCGUGGAAUUCCCAGUGUAGAGGUGAAAUUCGUAGAUAUUGGGAAGAACACCGGUGGCGAAGGCGGCGACCUGGUCCGAUACUGACGCUGAGGCGCGAAAGCGUGGGGAUCAAACAGG
rnacentral:rRNA from 1 species